GAAUUUAAUAUAAUUUUUUUAUAAAUUAGUAUAAUUAUUAUAUUUAAUUGGGGGGAUUAUUAAAUUUAAAAAACUUUAAUAUAAAAAAAAACUUUGAUUAAAGAAAAUAUUUUUUUAAUAAUGAGUAAUUUUAAUUAUUUAAGAAUUAAUUACCUUAGGGAUAACAGCAUAAUAAUUUUUUUUAGAUCUUAUAUAAAAAAUUGUUUAU
rnacentral:rRNA from 1 species